rnacentral:rRNA from 1 species
GGUUAAGCGACUAAGCGUACACGGUGGAUGCCCUGGCAGUCAGAGGCGAUGAAGGRCGUGCUAAUCUGCGAUAAGCGCCGGUAAGGUGAUAUGAACCGUUAUAACCGGCGAUUUCCGAAUGGGGAAACCCAGUGUGACUCGUCACACUAUCAUUAACUGAAUCCAUAGGUUAAUGAGGCGAACCGGGGGAACUGAAACAUCUAAGUACCCC